rnacentral:sRNA from 1 species
ACUACAGCGUAUUACACCUGCGCGGGAACAGACUUUGCAAACAGCAGACGACAGAGGGGUAUAUAAUGACGGCUUUUUUGAGAACGUAUUUCCUAACUCUUUGUUUCGGUGUGUUGGCGUCGGCGCUAUUGCCUAAAUGUUUACAGAAAUGCGGCGAAUGCAUGGAAACUGUGAACAAUUAUGACACAAGGUCCUGUCUCAGCUAUUGCUUAGAUGGAAAGACUGACGACCAAUGCAAUCUGUUCUCGGUGUCUGCGGCCAAGAGAGGCUUCGGAAAGCGUUCACUUGAGUGCAAAAAAUUCUGUUUUCAAUGUAAACUUACGUAUCCGCAAUACAACGGGAAUAAGUGUUUGGAGGAAUGUGAAAUGUCGAAAGGCUUCAAGUUAGAUGUAAACUGUAUCAAUUAUUGGUGAAAGUCAAGAACUUUUCAGACUAUUCUCGUCACUGUUGCAUGCUUUUGGUCUUUUCGCUUGCUUAAUUUCCGAGGCGAAAAUUUCAUAAGGACCUGUACACUAUGGAUGAAACGGUUGAAAGAUGAUCGGAUGGCUUUGCUAAAUAUCAGUAUUAUGUUUUAAAAGUUGCUUGAUUCAAACUGAAAAGAAAAACGAAAAAAUUCGUCGUGAAAAUUUCGAUUAAUAAAUCAUCCAAAAGUC